GUGGCGCACGGGUGCGUAACGCGUGGGAAUCUGCCCUUGGGUUCGGAAUAACAGUUAGAAAUGACUGCUAAUACCGGAUGAUGUCGUAAGACCAAAGAUUUAUCGCCCAAGGAUGAGCCCGCGUAGGAUUAGCUAGUUGGCGGGGUAAAGGCCCACCAAGGCGACGAUCCUUAGCUGGUCUGAGAGGAUGAUCAGCCACACUGGGACUGAGACACGGCCCAGACUCCUACGGGAGGCAGCAGUGGGGAAUAUUGGACAAUGGGCGAAAGCCUGAUCCAGCAAUGCCGCGUGAGUGAUGAAGGCCUUAGGGUUGUAAAGCUCUUUUACCCGGGAUGAUAAUGACAGUACCGGGAGAAUAAGCUCCGGCUAACUUCGUGCCAGCAGCCGCGGUAAUACGAGGGGAGCUAGCGUUAUUCGGAAUUACUGGGCGUAAAGCGCACGUAGGCGGCUUUGUAAGUUAGAGGUGAAAGCCCAGAGCUCAACUCUGGAAUUGCCUUUAAGACUGCAUCGCUUGAAUCCAGGAGAGGUGAGUGGAAUUCCGAGUGUAGAGGUGAAAUUCGUAGAUAUUCGGAAGAACACCAGUGGCGAAGGCGGCUCACUGGACUGGUAUUGACGCUGAGGUGCGAAAGCGUGGGAAGCAAACAGGAUUAGAUACCCUGGUAGUCCAC
rnacentral:rRNA from 1 species